rnacentral:rRNA from 1 species
GAUGAACGCUGGCGGCGUGCUUAACACAUGCAAGUCGAGCGAAGCAUUUUAAAGGAAGUUUUCGGAUGGAAUUUAAAAUGACUGAGCGGCGGACGGGUGAGUAACGCGUGGGUAACCUGCCUCAUACAGGGGGAUAACAGUUAGAAAUGACUGCUAAUACCGCAUAAGCGCACAGUGCUGCAUAGCACAGUGUGAAAAACUCCGGUGGUAUGAGAUGGACCCCCGUCUGAUUAGGUAGUUGGUGAGGUAACGGCCCACCAAGCCGACGAUCAGUAGCCGACCUGAGAGGGUGACCGGCCACAUUGGGACUGAGACACGGCCCAAACUCCUACGUGAGGCAGCAGUGGGGAAUAUUGGACAAUGGGGGAAACCCUGAUCCAGCGACGCCGCGUGAGUGAAGAAGUGUUUCGGCAUGUAAAGCUCUAUCAGCAGGGAAGAAAAUGACGGUACCUGACUAAGAAGCCCCGGCUAACUACGUGCCAGCAGCCGCAGUAA